GGGAGAAAUACAAUUUAAUUUUAUGGCUUCCAAUCCAAGUCAAAUGCAUUAUUGUGUAUAAUAAUAUGUAUAACAUUUAAGCGUAAAUGUAGGUCUAAUUACAGAUAUUUUGUCAUGACGUUUAAAACGGAAAAUGAUAAACAACCUCUCAAUAACUAACCCUAACACAAGAAUCUAUUUUAUAUGUUUCUUUCGACUCUUCUUUCUUGCAAAGUCAUCCACUAAUCCUCUCACUCACACAUUG